CAUUACAAGCUACUGGAACUUGAAAGGACCAUCAAUGCAGAUGUUUAUUGUCAACAGCUUGAUUGUGUAAAUGAAAAAUUACAUUGAAAGUGGCCAGCUUUGGUGAACAGAAAAGAUGUUAUUCUCCAGCAGUGUCAAUGCAUGGCCACAA